UGCAGUCGCGCGGCGAGCCGAUCAAGGAGAUCUACGCCGUCGAGGGAACGCCGCUGGUCACCGGUCCGUCCGCCGUGUUCGCCCGUGCCGCCAAUCCCAAUGCGGCGCGACUGUUCUACGCCUGGUCGAUGACCGCCGAGGCGCAGCAGCUCAAUGUCGACGUUGGUGCGCUGCGUUCCGUGCAUCCACUGGUCAAGGACUGGCCCGGGCGCAAGAAGCUGUCGGACAUCAAGACCCUGCGCGAGGACGCCGCCGCCGUCGCCGACCACGCCGACGACAUCAAGGCGCGCUAUCUCAAGCUCUUCAAGGUGUGAUCAUGCGCCGUCGUACGCUGCUCGGAGCCGCUGCCCUUCUGCCUCUUGGCGCAAAGGUCGUGUCGGCCGCGCCGCCGGCCGAGACGAUCACGCCGGCGCUGAUCGAGGCCGCCAAGAAGGAAGGCAAGGUCUCCUAUUACACGGCGAUGGACCUGUCGGUCGCCGAGCCGAUGGCCAAGGCCUUCGAGG
rnacentral:misc_RNA from 1 species